CCCGAUAAGCCUGUGGGAGCGAGAUUAAGGCUUGCUGGUCAUUUAUUACACUCGAAGUCAGUCUUUUUCUCUCUCCUAUUGGUAUAACGGUG
rnacentral:pre_miRNA from 1 species